UCCCUGAUGGUCUAGUGGUUAGGAUUCUGCAUUUUCACUGCUAUGACCCAGGUUCAAUCCCUGGUCAGGGAA